GACGAACGCUGGCGGCGUGCUUAACACAUGCAAGUCGAACGGAAAGGCCUCUUUCGGGGGGUACUCGAGUGGCGAACGGGUGAGUAACACGUGAGUAACCUGCCCUUGACUUUGGGAUAACUUCAGGAAACUGGGGCUAAUACCGGAUAGGAGCUCCUGCUGCAUGGUGGGGGUUGGAACGUUUCGGCGGUUGGGGAUGGACUCGCGGCUUAUCAGCUUGUUGGUGGGGUAGUGGCUUACCAAGGCUUUGACGGGUAGCCGGCCUGAGAGAGUGACCGGCCACAUUGGGACUGAGAUACGGCCCAGACUCCUACGGGAGGCAGCAGUGGGGAAUAUUGCACAAGGGGUGGAAGCCUGAUGCAGCAACGCCGUGUGCGGGAUGACGGCCUUCGGGUUGUAAACCGCUUUCGCUCAUGACGAAGCUUUGUGUGACGGUAGUGGGUAAAGAAGCACCGGCUAACUACGUG
rnacentral:rRNA from 1 species